GACGAACGCUGGCGGCGUGCUUAACACAUGCAAGUCGAACGGAAAGGCCCUGCUUUUGUGGGGUGCUCGAGUGGCGAACGGGUGAGUAACACGUGAGUAACCUGCCCUUGACUUUGGGAUAACUUCAGGAAACUGGGGCUAAUACCGGAUAGGAGCUCCUGCUGCAUGGUGGGGGUUGGAAAGUUUCGGCGGUUGGGGAUGGACUCGCGGCUUAUCAGCUUGUUGGUGGGGUAGUGGCUUACCAAGGCUUUGACGGGUAGCCGGCCUGAGAGGGUGACCGGCCACAUUGGGACUGAGAUACGGCCCAGACUCCUACGGGAGGCAGCAGUGGGGAAUAUUGCACAGUGGGCGGAAGCCUGAUGCAGCAACGCCGCGUGCGGGAUGACGGCCUUCGGGUUGUAAACCGCUUUCGCCUGUGACGAAGCGUGAGUGACGGUAAUGGAUAAAGAAGCACCGGCUAACUACGUG
rnacentral:rRNA from 1 species